rnacentral:rRNA from 1 species
GACGAACGCUGGCGGCGUGCUUAACACAUGCAAGUGGAGCGACGAACCAGGGCUUGCCCUGGGGCAGAGCCGCGAACGGGUGAGUAACACGUGGGUAACGUGCCCCGAUGACUGGGACAACCCGGGGAAACCCGGGCUAAUACCGGAUGUGCCCCCUCACAUAAGUGAGGUGUGUAAAGGAAGCUUCGGCCUCCGCAUCGGGAUCGGCCCGCGGCCCAUUAGCUUGUUGGUGAGGUAACGGCUCACCAAGGCUGCGAUGGGUAGCUGGUCUGAGAGGACGAUCAGCCACACUGGGACUGAGACACGGCCCAGACUCCUACGGGAGGCAGCAGUGGGGAAUCUUGCGCAAUGCGCGAAAGCGUGACGCAGCAACGCCGCGUGGGGGAAGACGGCCUUCGGGUUGUAAACCCCUUUCAGUUGGGACGAAGGUCGGGCGGUUAACAGCCGUUCCGGCUGACGGUACCUUCACAAGAAGCCCCGGCUAACUACGUG